CUUGUUGGAUCGAGAUCCGAGGCUAUAAGGGGGGAUAAUAGCCUCUUUUCGAUUUAUACAGGUUGAUUGCGGAAUUACCUGUAAAUGCUUAAUAAACAAAUGGUUGAACAAUAAUGAUAUAAAGAUAUUAUAAUUUUGAUUGAUAUAAUAAUGUAAUUAUUACUCUUCGAAGCUUACCACAGUAUAUGAAUACUGAGUCAACUUGCUUGAUAGUGUUUUACACAACUAUAGUAUAUGAAUACUAAGUUAUAUUGUAAACACAAAUUGUAUUGUAGAGUAAAUGACCAGAUAACUGGAUAUAUUGAUAAGCAAGUAAAUGACCAGAUAAUUGGACAUAUUGAUAAGCAAGUAAGUGACCAGAUAACUGGAUAUAUAUGAUAAGUAAUACUUGAACAAAUAUAAGGAUUUAAAGCAAUGAAUAUAACCUCAGAUGGUUGACCAGAUAACUGGAUGAGGGAUCUGCGUAAAGUAGUCAACCUCUGUAUUUGACCAGAUAACUGGAAGAGGGUUCCUUUUUAAUUAAGUGUUGUUGUUAGAUAUUUUAG
rnacentral:lncRNA from 1 species